rnacentral:rRNA from 1 species
GAUGAACGCUAGCUACAGGCUUAACACAUGCAAGUCGAGGGGCAGCACAGUGUAGCAAUACACGGGUGGCGACCGGCGCACGGGUGCGUAACGCGUAUCCAACCUUCCCGAUACUCUUGGAUAGCCUUCCGAAAGGGAGAUUAAUACAAGAUGGUGUUUCACUUUCGCAUGUUAUUGAAACUAAAUAUUUAUCGGUAUCGGAUGGGGAUGCGUGACAUUAGAUAGUAGGCGGGGUAACGGCCCACCUAGUCUACGAUGUCUAGGGGUUCUGAGAGGAAGGUCCCCCACACUGGAACUGAGACACGGUCCAGACUCCUACGGGAGGCAGCAGUGAGGAAUAUUGGUCAAUGGUCGGAAGACUGAACCAGCCAAGUAGCGUGAAGGAUGAAGGUUCUAUGGAUUGUAAACUUCUUUUAUACGGGAAUAAAACACCUUACGUGUAGGGUCUUGUAUGUACCGUAUGAAUAAGCAUCGGCUAACUCCGUGCCAGCAGCCGCAGUAAGAC